rnacentral:rRNA from 1 species
GUCGAGUGCGCGUCCCGGUAGCAAUACCGGGAUGGCGCACGGCGCACGGGUGCGUAACACGUGGGCAAUCUGCCCUCCGAUGGGGAAUAACUCCGGGAAACCGAAGCUAAUUCCGCAUAACAUUCCCUGGACUCCGGUUCGGGGAUUCAAAGCAGCAAUGCGUCGGAGGAGGAGCCCGCGCCCGAUUAGCUAGUUGGUGAGGUAACGGCUCACCAAGGCCAUGAUCGGUAGCUGGUCUGAGAGGAUGGCCAGCCACACUGGAACUGAGACACGGUCCAGACUCCUACGGGAGGCAGCAGUGGGGAAUCUUGCGCAAUGGGCGAAAGCCUGACGCAGCGACGCCGCGUGGGGGAUGAAGCUUUUCGGAGUGUAAACCCCUUUCGACCGGGACGAAUGCCCGCAAGGGAGUGACGGUACCGGUAGAAGAAGCCCCGGCUAACUACGUGCCAGCAGCCGCGGUAAGACGUAGGGGGCCAGCGUUGUUCGGAAUUACUGGGUGUAAAGGGUUCGUAGGCGGUGUGGCAAGUCGGGAGUGAAAUUUCUGGGCUUAACUCAGAGGCUGCUUCCGAAACUGCUGUGCUCGAGUGUGGGAGAGGCGCGUGGAAUUGCAGGUGUAGCGGUGAAAUGCGUAGAUAUCUGCAGGAACACCCGUGGCGAAAGCGGCGCGCUGGACCAUUACUGACGCUGAGGAACGAAAGCUAGGGGAGCAAACA